AAUUUUGGACAAUGGGGGAAACCCUGAUCCAGCCAUACCGCGUGUAUGAUGAAGGCCUUCGGGUUGUAAAGUACUUUUUGCUGAGAGGAAAAGGUAUCUCCUAAUACGAGAUACUGCUGACGGUAUCUGCAGAAUAAGCACCGGCGAACUACGUGCCAGCAGCCGCGGUAAUACGUAGGGUGCAAGCAUUAAUCGGAAUUACUGGGCGUAAAGCGUGUGUAGGCGGUUCGGAAAGAAAGAUGAGAGAUCCCAGGGGUCAACCUUGGAACUGCAUUUUUAACUGCCGAGCUAGAGUAUGUCAGGGGGGGGUAGAAGUCCACGUGUAGCAGUGAAAUGCGUAGAUAUGUGGAGGAAUACCGAUGGCGAAGGCAGCCCCCUGGGAUAAUACUGACGCUCAGACACGAAAGCGUGGGGAGCAAACA
rnacentral:rRNA from 1 species